ACAUGCCAAAAAUGAAAGAAACUGUUCAACAGUUGAGGUAGGUAGUUAAUUGACCAACUUUUUACAGUUUAAGUAACCAAAAAAAAAAAAACUUUAUUAUAGUACAAAAAAAAAAACUGUUUUUUUUUUCUUUUCUCUUUUUAGGAAAAAAACAGUUAUCCAACAAAAUAAAAUUAAAAAAAUAAAAGAAAUUUUUUUGUCUCUCUCUUUCUUGAUUAGUCUUCUUUCUCUUUCUCUCUCUCAUCAUUUCUUUUUUGAGCUAAAAACUUAGAUCCCACAAAAUUCCAUCCAAAUUUUAUAAAUAUUUAUAUUAGAGAAUUAAAGUACUUUGAACUUUUCAAAUAUCUUUUUUUUUUUUGUGAAUUUAUUUAUUGUUAAAAAAGUCAGUUUUUUUUUUUGGUUGGUAAAAAGAUUGUUUUUUUCCUACUGUUUUGAUUUGUUGAGCAGAAAAGAUUGGUGGGUUUUUGUUUAUAUUGUAUUUGGGUGAAGGAAUUUUUAUUUUUAAUUUUAUUUUGGAGCUGAAUUUAGGUGCUUGAGAAUAUUCUUGAAAUUCUAGUUUUUACGUGUUUUUGAUUUGGUUCUGAAGCAAGUUGUAAUUAGGUGGAUAUAUAUUUUUUUAAUUAAUUAGUUUGUUUUUAAUUUUUUUUUUUUGUUGAAGUAAGGAGCUUGAGAGUUUUUGAAAGUAUUCUUGAAAUUUCAUAUUUUAUAUGAUUUUGAUUUGGUUCUGAAGAAAGUUUUUGUUUUUCUUUUGUGGGGUUUUGUUCUUUCAUGUUGUAAUUAGGUGGAUAUAUAUAUAUAUAUAUANNNNNNNNNNNNNNNNNNNNNNNNNNNNNNNNCCGUAUUUUAUAUUGAUUUUGAUUUGGUUCUGAAGAAAGUUUUUGUCUUCCUUUUGUGGGGUUUUGUUGUUUCAUGUUUUAAUUUGGUGAAUAUAUUUUAUUUUAUUUUUUGUAAGUUGAAGUAAAAGGUUUGAGAGUUUGAUAGUAUUCUUGAAAUUCCAGUUUUUCUAUGUUUUUGAUUUGGUUCUGAAGCAAGCUUUUGUUUUUCCAUGUAAUUUGGUGAAUAUAUUUUAAUUUUAUAUUUUUUAAGUUGAAGUAAAGGGGAUUGAGAGUUCUUGAGAUUCCAAAUUUUCUAUGAUUUUGAUUUGGUUCUGAAGCAAGUUUUAGUUUUUUUUGUUGUUGUUGAAGUAAAGGGGUUUGAGGAUUUGUAGAUUCUUGAAAUUCUAGUUUUUGUUGAAUCGUGGGGAUGGAAGAAAGGGGUUAGCUUUUAGAAUUUGGUGUUAAAAUAGAGAUGAAGGAUACUAAGCUUGAAGGAGAGGGUUGUGAUGAUUCGACCGUAGAUCCUGAUAUUGCAC
rnacentral:lncRNA from 1 species